CUUGGAUUUUUGGCUUCAAAUCUUCAUUUUCAAGGUUGAAAGGUUUUAAUGGCAUUUCGGGACUCCUUGGAUUAGAACCUUGUUGGUGAUAGUUUUGUCAGGUUUACUGAGUCAAAGAUGAUUGGAUCCUAGAACGAGGUGUUCCUCCCUAUCCAUUGCUCAAUAGGUUUACCACUGACAUUAAAUGUUAGCAACCAUGCCUAGAGUCACUCCGCUAACGGUCAAGGUCCAAUUAUGUAUAUAUGAAUACUUG